AUGAACGCUGGCGGCGUGCCUAAUACAUGCCAGUCGAGCGAACAGACGAGGAGCUUGCUCCUCUGACGUUAGCGGCGGACGGGUGAGUAACACGUGGAUAACCUACCUAUAAGACUGGGAUAACUUCGGGAAACCGGAGCUAAUACCGGAUAAUAUAUUGAACCGCAUGGUUCAAUAGUGAAAGACGGUUUUGCUGUCACUUAUAGAUGGAUCCGCGCCGCAUUAGCUAGUUGGUAAGGUAACGGCUUACCAAGGCAACGAUGCGUAGCCGACCUGAGAGGGUGAUCGGCCACACUGGAACUGAGACACGGUCCAGACUCCUACGGGAGGCAGCAGUAGGGAAUCUUCCGCAAUGGGCGAAAGCCUGACGGAGCAACGCCGCGUGAGUGAUGAAGGUCUUCGGAUCGUAAAACUCUGUUAUUAGGGAAGAACAAAUGUGUAAGUAACUAUGCACGUCUGGACGGUACCUAAUCAGAAAACCACGGCUAACUACGU
rnacentral:rRNA from 1 species